AAAAGCCAUCAAGGAGCUAGGCAGAAGCCCCAACUGUAUUGAGGAGGAAAAACCAGAGGAUGUCCUGUCCUGGAUUCAAGUGACAAGAGUCUUUCCAAGAAGGAAGCAAGAGGGAUCAGCCAUGCCCAGUGCUGCUGGGUCUACCCCCAGAGUGUUCUGUGAAUAUUACUCCCUUCCGCAAGCUGGUAUCACCAACGCAGCCAAGGAGCCAGGCCCUGAACCGUCCUGACUGGCCCCAGCCUGCUCCAUGCCCCAGAGGAGUCCCACAGUGCUUCCGGAGCUGCAGCGGGUGAAAUACCGCGGCUGUUGUGUUUUUAACCACUGAACCAACGUGAUGCAUUAAGGUAGCUGAUGGUGUCACAGGCAUCCGGGCCCUCUGGGAGCUGAUAUAUUUUUUCAACCCUGCUCUGCCUGCCAGCUAGUAGACAC